GCUCCUUUGGCGUCGAGCGGCGGACGGGUGAGUAAUGCUUGGGAAUGUGCCUUAUGGUGGGGGACAACAGUUGGAAACGACUGCUAAUACCGCAUAAUGUCUUCGGACCAAAGUGGGGGACCUUCGGGCCUCACGCCAUAAGAUCAGCCCAAGUGGGAUUAGCUAGUUGGUAAGGUAAUGGCUUACCAAGGCGACGAUCCCUAGCUGGUUUGAGAGGAUGAUCAGCCACACUGGGACUGAGACACGGCCCAGACUCCUACGGGAGGCAGCAGUGGGGAAUAUUGCACAAUGGGCGCAAGCCUGAUGCAGCCAUGCCGCGUGUGUGAAGAAGGCCUUCGGGUUGUAAAGCACUUUCAGUAAGGAGGAAAGGUUAAGUGUUAAUAGCACUUAGCUGUGACGUUACUUACAGAAGAAGCACCGGCUAACUCCGUGCCAGCAGCCGCGGUAAUACGGAGGGUGCGAGCGUUAAUCGGAAUUACUGGGCGUAAAGCGUACGCAGGCGGUUUGUUAAGCGAGAUGUGAAAGCCCCGGGCUCAACCUGGGAACUGCAUUUCGAACUGGCAAACUAGAGUGUGAUAGAGGGUGGUAGAAUUUCAGGUG
rnacentral:rRNA from 1 species